GAUGAACGCUGGCGGCGUGCCUAAUACAUGCAAGUCGAGCGAACGGACGAGAAGCUUGCUUCUCUGAUGUUAGCGGCGGACGGGUGAGUAACACGUGGAUAACCUACCUAUAAGACUGGGAUAACUUCGGGAAACCGGAGCUAAUACCGGAUAAUAUUUUGAACCGCAUGGUUCAAAAGUGAAAGACGGUCUUGCUGUCACUUAUAGAUGGAUCCGCGCUGCAUUAGCUAGUUGGUAAGGUAACGGCUUACCAAGGCAACGAUGCAUAGCCGACCUGAGAGGGUGAUCGGCCACACUGGAACUGAGACACGGUCCAGACUCCUACGGGAGGCAGCAGUAGGGAAUCUUCCGCAAUGGGCGAAAGCCUGACGGAGCAACGCCGCGUGAGUGAUGAAGGUCUUCGGAUCGUAAACUCUGUUAUUAGGGAAGAACAUAUGUGUAAGUAACUGUGCACAUCUUGACGGUACCUAAUCAGAAAGCCACGGCUAACUACGUG
rnacentral:rRNA from 1 species